rnacentral:rRNA from 1 species
UACGGAGGGAGCUAGCGUUGUUCGGAAUUACUGGGCGUAAAGCGCACGUAGGCGGCUUUGUAAGUUAGAGGUGAAAGCCUGGGGCUCAACCCCAGAAUUGCCUUUAAGACUGCAUCGCUUGAAUCCGGGAGAGGUGAGUGGAAUUCCGAGUGUAGAGGUGAAAUUCGUAGAUAUUCGGAAGAACACCAGUGGCGAAGGCGGCUCACUGGAACCGGUAUUGACGC